CAAGGUGGAUGUUUCGCAACAUCGAUGGUAGUUCGCGAUUUUGCUAGCUUAAAAAAGAGCAAACGGUGGAAAUAUAUUUUAUUCACCACUCAAAUCCCUAAACAUGAACAAGCUAUUCAUCGUUCUUCUUCUCGUCAAAUGCUUACCAAUGAUGUUGCUGCCAGCCACUGUUGAGGCCCAAUCUGAUGGUCGCCGGAACUGCCCUUGCCGGUACAUAUGUAACUAUCUGGUGGAGACCGACGGAGGGCACUGUGCAAUUAACAAGAGGUGCUGUUUUCGGAGGGGAUGGGUUAAUGGCGGAUAAAGGCGAGGGACAAGCGCCAGAACAUUGUUUUAAUCCAUUAAAUUGGUGGUGAAAAUAAAGCGUCGAUGUAAUAA